GCAAUUACGGGCCCGGCGCUGGCGGCUCCUGCGCACUCAGACCCCAGGGAGCCCAUCCGGGCAGGCGGCGGCCCUGAGUGUCGCGGCCGUGGGCCCGAGUGGACCUGGAGUCGGCGGGCAGCCCCGGGGGCAGACAGGCGACCGAACCGCGGGUCGAGGUGCUAACUGUGCAUCUUGGCAUCUCCCCUCGGCCACAGGGUUGGAAGCCCAGCGAGGCUAGAGGCCAGUCCCAAAGUCUCCAGACAUCAGGGCUGCAGCCCAGGAGCCUCAAGGCGCCCCGGCGGGCGACUGGACGGCCGGACAGGUCCCGAGCAGCCCGGCCCACCAUGGACCCCUCUGCCCACAGGUCCCGAGCAGCCCCGCCCACCAUGGACCCCCUGCCCACGUCCCGAGCGCCCCGCCCACCAUGGACCCAGACCCCCAGGCAGGCGUGCAGGUGGGCAUGCGGGUGGUGCGCGGCGUGGACUGGAAGUGGGGCCAGCAGGACGGCGGCGAGGGCGGCGUGGGCACGGUGGUGGAGCUUGGCCGCCACGGCAGCCCCUCGACACCUGACCGCACAGUGGUCGUGCAGUGGGACCAGGGCACGCGCACCAACUACCGCGCCGGCUACCAGGGCGCGCACGACCUGCUGCUCUACGACAACGCCCAGAUCGGUGCGCGCCACGGGCAGGCGGGACGGGCAGGACCCGGGGGCGGGAACGCCCCUCUGACCCCACCCCACCCCUAGGCGUCCGGCAUCCCAACAUCAUCUGUGACUGCUGCAAGAAGCACGGGCUGCGGGGGAUGCGCUGGAAGUGCCGCGUGUGCCUGGACUACGACCUCUGCACGCAGUGCUACAUGCACAACAAGCACGAGCUCGCCCACGCCUUCGACCGCUACGAGACCGCUCACUCGCGCCCUGUCACACUGAGUCCCCGCCAGGGCCUCCUGAGGAUCCCACUAAGGGGCAUCUUCCAGGGAGCAAAGGUGGUGCGAGGCCCCGACUGGGAGUGGGGCUCACAGGAUGGAGGGGAAGGGAAACCAGGCCGUGUGGUGGACAUCCGUGGCUGGGAUGUGGAGACAGGCCGGAGUGUGGCCAGCGUGACGUGGGCUGAUGGUACCACCAACGUGUACCGUGUGGGCCACAAGGGCAAGGUGGACCUCAAGUGUGUGGGCGAGGCAGCGGGCGGCUUCUACUACAAGGACCACCUCCCAAGGCUUGGCAAGCCGGCCGAGCUGCAGCGCAGGGUGAGUGCUGACAGCCAGCCCUUCCAGCAUGGGGACAAGGUCAAAUGUCUGCUGGACACCGACGUCCUGCGGGAGAUGCAGGAAGGCCACGGCGGCUGGAACCCCAGGAUGGCGGAGCACCACUCCUUCUGGGUGGGCGACGUGGUCCGGGUCAUCGGUGACCUUGACACAGUGAAGCGGCUGCAGGCUGGGCACGGCGAGUGGACGGAUGACAUGGCCCCUGCCCUGGGCCGCGUUGGCAAAGUGGUGAAAGUGUUUGGAGACGGGAACCUGCGUGUAGCAGUCGCUGGUCAGCGGUGGACCUUCAGCCCCUCCUGCCUGGUGGCCUACCGGCCCGAGGAGGAUGCCAACCUGGACGUGGCUGAGCGCGCCCGGGAGAACAAAAGUGCGGCACAGCUCAGGCGGCCAGUGGGCGGUGGGGCUGCCCCUGGCCACCGCUCACCUCAGUCCUGCCCCCAGGCUCACUGAGCGUGGCCCUGGACAAGCUUCGGGCCCAGAAGAGUGACCCAGAGCACCUGGGAAGGCUGGUGGUGGAGGUGGCGCUGGGUAACGCAGCCCGGGCUCUGGACCUGCUGCGGAGGCGCCCAGAGCAGGUGGACACCAAGAACCAAGGCAGGACCGCUCUGCAAGUGGCUGCCUAUCUGGGCCAGGUGGAGUUGGUACGGCUGCUGCUACAAGCCAGGGCGGGUGUGGACCUGCCGGACGACGAGGGCAACACGGCGCUGCACUACGCGGCCCUGGGGAACCAGCCGGAGGCCGCCAGGGUGCUCCUGAAUGCUGGGUGCCGGGCGGAUGCUCUCAACAGCACUCAGAGCACAGCGCUGCACGUGGCCGUGCAGAGGGGCUUCCUGGAGGUGGUGCGCGCUCUGUGUGAGCGCGGCUGUGACGUCAACCUGCCCGACGCCCACUCGGACACGCCCCUGCACUCCGCCAUCUCGGCGGGCACUGGAGCCAGCGGCAUUGUCGAGGUCCUCACGGAGGUGCCAAACAUCGAUGUCACCGCCACCAACAGCCAGGGUUUCACCCUGCUUCACCAUGCCUCCCUCAAGGGCCAUGCGCUAGCUGUGAGAAAGAUUCUGGCUCGGGCGCGGCAGCUGGUGGACGCCAAGAAGGAGGACGGCUUCACGGCGCUGCACCUGGCCGCGCUCAACAACCACCGCGAGGUGGCGCAGAUCCUCAUCCGGGAGGUGCGGACGCGGCCCAGGCCUGCCCAAGGACCGGGGAGCGGGAGGCCCACUGGGGUCCCUGGGCUGAGCCCGUGCCCACCCCUCCCCAGGGCCGCUGUGACGUGAAUGUGCGCAACCGGAAGCUGCAGUCCCCGCUGCAUCUAGCCGUGCAGCAGGCCCACGUGGGGCUGGUGCCACUACUGGUGGACGCUGGGUGCAGUGUCAACGCCGAGGACGAGGAGGGGGACACAGCCCUGCACGUGGCGCUGCAGCGUCAUCAGCUGCUGCCCCUGGUGGCUGAUGGUGCCGGGGGGGACCCAGGGCCCUUGCAGCUGCUGUCCAGGCUGCAGGCCUCGGGCCUCCCUGGCAGCGCGG
rnacentral:sRNA from 1 species